GGGCACAUGGUGUAGUUGGUUAUCACGCCCGCUUAGCAUUCCGCAUCUGCGGGCGGUCCCCGGUUCAAUUCCGGGUGUGUCCA